CCUACGGUGUGCUGCAGUGAGGAAUAUUGGUCAAUGGGCGGAAGCCUGAACCAGCCAAGUCGCGUGAGGGAAUAAGGCCCUACGGGUCGUAAACCUCUUUUGCCGGGGAGCAAGGGCGGGGACGUGUCCCGGCCCGGAGAGUUCCCGGCGAAAAAGCAUCGGCUAACUCCGUGCCAGCAGCCGCGGUAAUACGGAGGAUCCGAGCGUUAUCCGGAUUUAUGGGGUUUAAAGGGGGCGCAGGCGGGCCGUUAGGCCGGCGGUGAAAUCGCGGGGCUAAACCCCGCCGAGACGUAGGAACUGGGGGCCGUGAGUGCGGCGGGGGCAUGCGGAAUGCGCGGUGUAGCGGUGAAAUGCAUAGAUAUCGCGCAGAACCCCGAUGGCGAAGGCAGCGUGCCGUGCCGCCACUGACGCUGAGGCACGAAAGCGCGGGGAGCGAACAGGAUUAGAUACCCGAGUAGUC
rnacentral:rRNA from 1 species